UAGGGAAUCUUCGGCAAUGGACGAAAGUCUGACCGAGCAACGCCGCGUGAGUGAAGAAGGUUUUCGGAUCGUAAAACUCUGUUGUUAGAGAAGAACAAGGACGUUAGUAACUGAACGUCCCCUGACGGUAUCUAACCAGAAAGCCACGGCUAACUACGUGCCAGCAGCCGCGGUAAUACGUAGGUGGCAAGCGUUGUCCGGAUUUAUUGGGCGUAAAGCGAGCGCAGGCGGUUUCUUAAGUCUGAUGUGAAAGCCCCCGGCUCAACCGGGGAGGGUCCUUGGAAACUUGGAGACUUGAGUGCAGAAGAGGAGAGUGGAAUUCCAUGUGUAGCGGUGAAAUGCGUAGAUAUAUGGAGGAACACCAGUGGCGAAGGCGGCUCUCUGGUCUGUAGCUGACGCUGAGGCUCGAAAGCGUGGGGAGCAAACAGG
rnacentral:rRNA from 1 species